rnacentral:rRNA from 1 species
GAUGAACGCUGGCGGCGUGCCUAAUACAUGCAAGUCGAGCGAACGGACGAGAAGCUUGCUUCUCUGAUGUUAGCGGCGGACGGGUGAGUAACACGUGGAUAACCUACCUAUAAGACUGGGAUAACUUCGGGAAACCGGAGCUAAUACCGGAUAAUAUUUUGAACCGCAUGGUUCAAAAGUGAAAGACGGUCUUGCUGUCACUUAUAGAUGGAUCCGCGCUGCAUUAGCUAGUUGGUAAGGUAACGGCUUACCAAGGCAACGAUGCAUAGCCGACCUGAGAGGGUGAUCGGCCACACUGGAACUGAGACACGGUCCAGACUCCUACGGGAGGCAGCAGUAGGGAAUCUUCCGCAAUGGGCGAAAGCCUGACGGAGCAACGCCGCGUGAGUGAUGAAGGUCUUCGGAUCGUAAAACUCUGUUAUUAGGGAAGAACAUAUGUGUAAGUAACUGUGCACAUCUUGACGGUACCUAAUCAGAAAGCCACGGCUAACUACGUGCCAGCAGCCGCGGUAAUACGUAGGUGGCAAGCGUUAUCCGGAAUUAUUGGGCGUAAAGCGCGCGUAGGCGGUUUUUUAAGUCUGAUGUGAAAGCCCACGGCUCAACCGUGGAGGGUCAUUGGAAACUGGAAAACUUGAGUGCAGAAGAGGAGAGUGGAAUUCCAUGUGUAGCGGUGAAAUGCGCAGAGAUAUGGAGGAACACCAGUGGCGAAGGCGACUUUCUGGUCUGUAACUGACGCUGAUGUGCGAAAGCGUGGGGAUCAAACAGGAUUAGAUACCCUGGUAGUCCACGCCCGUAAACGAUGAGUGCUAAGUGUUAGGGGGUUUCCGCCCCUUAGUGCUGCAGCUAACGCAUUAAGCACUCCGCCUGGGGAGUACGACCGCAGGGUUGAAACUCAAAGGAAUUGACGGGGACCCGCACAAGCGGUGGAGCAUGUGGUUUAAUUCGAAGCAACGCGAAGAACCUUACCAAAUCUUGACAUCCUUUGACAACUCUAGAGAUAGAGCCUUCCCCUUCGGGGGACAAAGUGACAGGUGGUGCAUGGUUGUCGUCAGCUCGUGUCGUGAGAUGUUGGGUUAAGUCCCGCAACGAGCGCAACCCUUAAGCUUAGUUGCCAUCAUUAAGUUGGGCACUCUAAGUUGACUGCCGGUGACAAACCGGAGGAAGGUGGGGAUGACGUCAAAUCAUCAUGCCCCUUAUGAUUUGGGCUACACACGUGCUACAAUGGACAAUACAAAGGGCAGCGAAACCGCGAGGUCAAGCAAAUCCCAUAAAGUUGUUCUCAGUUCGGAUUGUAGUCUGCAACUCGACUACAUGAAGCUGGAAUCGCUAGUAAUCGUAGAUCAGCAUGCUACGGUGAAUACGAUCCCGGGUCU